rfam:Streptomyces hygroscopicus ATCC 53653 genomic scaffold supercont1.1, whole genome shotgun sequence.
CUUCACCGACCCCAGCCACAGGGGGUGGUCGGGCGAGCGUCCGGCUCCGUACGCGGCGACCAGGGCCUGGCCUUC